rnacentral:lncRNA from 1 species
CCUCCUGAAGCUUUUCAAUGUUUUCUCACAAAGCAAAGCAGAUCUAACCUCAGCCCAAGUGUUCAUAAGCUUAAAAACAAAUUCUCGCAAGUUUCGAGAGACAUCCAUACUCGCCUCCUCCUCGUAAACCAUUCUUCUCAAUGUUUUCUCACGAAGCAACGUCAGAAGAAUUAUUAUAAAUGCCCGCAGAGAAGGACAAACGCCAAUGAAAAUGAGAAAACAUCACCCCACACGACAUCCAUACCUCGCAUUGAUCCUAUCAUCGAACGAAAAACUCUAAACGAAAUAGUCAAUUUGCUCAUAGUGGCGACCUCUUUGCCAAAUGACCAUGUUUAAAAGGUGGGCUGGCGAUCGAGAGAGGCAGAUUUGAGCACCCAAUGGAGUUUCUCGUGGCUGCGCUUGCGCUGUGUGUGAUCUUGGCAGGAGUGAUGAUCGACGGAUCGGUGGUGAGCGAUAUUGUCCAGCCGAUCGACAUCCCAAAGGACGCUGUCAAAUGCGCUCACCCCCUCGUCAAUGCCGAGUUCUCGGGAGCUUCUCCGCUGAUCGAGGUGAGUUUCUCAUCAUGGUUUCUCACACGAAGAACGUUUCCAUCCAGACUAGCUACGCGCCUUCCACCCAAUGCGGGAGCGCUUGGACCAAGAUCGUCCUCGAGCUCACCGGUUUUUGCAAGGGAUCGUCCAAGGAGCAAAAAAUCGGUGGAGUGUGGCUGGGUGGCGCUCAGAUCCUCCACGCGAGCACCCCUCUCCCGACACCGGAGGGGACAAACUGGACGAUCCAAAGGGACGCCACCAGUUUCGAAUCUCUCUUUCUAUCCAGCUCAAAUCUCUCGCUCAUCUUCUUGGAUGUCACCGCCUCCUCCUCCACGAACUCGUCACUGCCAUCGACGAAAUCUUCCUACAGAAUUAGCGUCACAGCCAACUUCUACUUGUUCAAGGAAUCCACAGCCGAAAUUAUCGAUCAAGCUCGCGGAAGUCGCCGAUUCUUCUCACCCCUGGCAGGAACAUCGGCCGGUUUGUUCCCGCCCCUCGCUGUUCUCCCGAUCCAUCCACCACCCUCCAACUCCACCGGGCUUUGGUUCGUAUUCCAAAACGAUCAGGAAUCCUCCGCCAUGGUGACCCUCCGACCGUCGUCAGUGCUCGCUUGCAGGUCUUCGUUUCCUCGCAUGGUGACGACGAGUUUUGGUACAAGAAGGGAAGCUCCCCGGAGAUGCGAGAGUUGGUGGUCAUUCUCGACGGUGCUGUGGUGGACGCGAUCUGGCCGAGCCCGGUGAUCUACAGCGCUGGGAUCAAUGCAUCCUACUGGGAGUCUGUUGGAUCCAUCGGUGCCUUGAACUCUCCUGGCUACGACGUCAUCUUGGACGCGUUUGCUCCUGUUCUAGCCGAUGGAAAGCCCCAUAAGCUUGGAUUUCGAGUGACCGGAGCCACCAGCAUCUGGGUGCCAGUUUGCUCAAGCCAAAAGAACAUUGAACAAAUGAAAAUAAUCAGGGCACAAUGCAAGGCCCAAAAAAUAUUCAAAAUACAUUGCUCAAGGAAACACUUCAAAAAAAUUAUUCAAUGAGUCUGAGGUGUUAUAGAAAUUUAUCUAAGAGCUUGACCAUGACAAGAAGGUAAGUAUCCAACUUUAUUAUUAUUUAAAUAUUUUGCCUUUAACCAUAUAUUACUAGGGGUAUAUAAAAAUUCAGUAACAAUUAUGUCUUUAUAAAGAUGAAUUUAGAAGCAUUUAGUAUUUGGCUUAACAUGUGAAAUUUAACUUUUUGAACUUUUUUUUUUAGUUCAACUACAUGAUCCAGUUAACUAAUAAUGUUUCAAUAUAACAAUGUUAAUGAAAAAACAUCUCCAAUGCGUGGUGCCUUGCUUGGUGUGAACUUCGGAGUGCCCAUGCCGUUGGAUUCAUUCGCUCGUAAUGUUUCAGGAUUUAGUAUAAUGUUAUUAUCAAAGAAUGGUAAUCUUUAUUAGGAGUUGAAUAAGCUUUAGCACUAGAUGUUAAAAACUAGGAAGUGGAGUGGACUUUAUAUUACAUACACAAUUUAGACAAAAAUUAUAACACUCUUGAGUAUAUUUCAAUUUUGUGCAUAGAACUAUUAAAUGGGCAACUAUUAGAGCACAUGUGUACAAUCACAAGUAAAUUGUUUAACAUGAAUAUGAAAUAUUAGAUAUUGAAUAAUUUUUACAAGAUUAAGAAAGUUCUCAUUAUUGUCACUUGUGAGUUCAAACAAGAAAAUAGUACAUUGCAAAAAUUAUUCUGACAAUACUUAAUAAUAUUUAUUAGCAAAAAACUAGAAAUAUAUCAAUAUUUACUUCAGUGAAAAUUGAAAUGCAAUUUAUAAAAUUUACUUCAAAGGUGAACCAUGCUUUGAAAAGGAGUACUUUUAUGUUUUUCACUUUAAACAAAGUCUCCAAAUUCACAUUAAAAAUAUAUUUUAAUUGAAUAUCAAUCAUCACAUAUUGAAUUAUGUAAAAACUAAAGGUUAGUGACCAUAAAAAAUGAGAUCACAAAAUACUUUAACAAGAUUUUAAAAUGGUGGGAGGGGAAGGUUGACAUGAAAAAUAAAGAAUAUUUUCUUCCUAGAUUGGUUGGUGGCAUUCACAUAUUGCAAGAUGGGGGAAUUUCAUUCACUUGGUACAAAAUUUUGUAUGUUAAUAUUCAGUUAUAAAUGUGUUGUAGAGUAAAUCAGAUAUUGAAUUGGCAUUCAUCUCAAACACAAAUUAUUUUGAGAUGAAACAUGCAAGUUGGUUGGCGAGCAAAAAAUUCAAAGCAAAAACAUCUUUAUAUACUUGUUGUAAUGAUUUAUGUGAGGCUUUCAUGCAAAUCACAACAUAUUUGUAGUGCACCCUAUUGAGCCUCUAUUUCCACAUUGAAUUUUCCUUUGUGUAGACUAGUUAUUUCAUAUAAGGCAAUUAGUCAUCCUAGGGUGGAUACUUUUGUAAGCAUGGAUGCCUAAUACAUAUGAUUUCAAAUUAAGGGGUAGAAGUAUAGAUUUCAAAUUUAGAGGUAGAAAUAUACCUUGUUCAAGUAUAUAUUAUAUUUUAAGUUGCCACUAAUCAAUAGGAAUCAAACUUGUGCCAUUUACUUUGAUACCACAUAAAGCACACUUUUUAAACCAACUAGAAAAAGGAUAAUUGCUUAAUGAGAUAGCCCUUAGUGGCUAUUUUAUCCCCAUUUAUCCCCUAAAGUUCCAAGAAUUCACAGUGACAGUAUAUCCAAAUUUCAUCCCAUGAUCACAUGUGCUACAAUAUUAAACAUUCCUUAAUAGAAAAGUUAUAGAGACAAGCCUAGGAUUUUGAGAGUUGUUAAGCAAACAUAAAAAAACUCCUAAAAACUAUGACAAGCACAAAAAGGAGGAUGCAUUGAAUAUUAUUUGUGCAACAACAUCAAUAAGAGUGCAUUCAUUUCAACAAAACAAAAGUGGCAAUCAAAAAAUAAUUUAUAACAAACAAUCAAAUAUCACUUUUAGAUUUAUAGUGAACAACAAUCAUAGACCCAAAUAUAGUACAACGAAUGUUCUUGUGUGAGAAUAUAGCUCCAGAUGAACCAUUGAUUUUAAUAGUCACACAAUAAGUAUCACAAUUCUUGAUGAACAAUCAUAAAUCAUUGAAGAGAAAGUUCAUAAAACAUUAUGAGCUAUUUGACAAGUGGAGAAAAGGAUUAUUGUAACGCACGUGAAUUUGAAGUCGAACUCCAAGCCCGUUGCACUACAAACGAGAGUCUAGUACAAUCCUACGAGCACUAGCUUCCUGUAUCCAACACUUGCACGCAAAAUGGUGUUAGAUGGAGUCUGGCAUAAUUUUGGCAUACCGGUGGCCUAACGCGAGGAGGUGGUACCCCACUGACUAGAGCAAUAUGGAGCUUGGGCUUAGACCCAAGUUGGACGCAGAACAAAAAGUGACAUAGCCCAGCGGGAGCCAAACUAAUAUCUUAAGUGGUCAGACAUGCAUUCCAACCACUAUCUCUAUUAUACAUUUAGAACCCCCCACAACCCCCUCCCCUCCCUUAAAGACAUACGCCUUGGGCUUUCACUCCAAGCCUCUCUUAUUACCAUGAGUUAGUCUUUGGGACAACUUUGAAACUUAUUAAAUAUGGAAUGUCCUUAGAAUGAGAAUUUGGACAUAGGACAUACACUAUUGUGUUCAGGCCAAUGUUUACAUUCUAUAGAUAUGCCAAAUGAGCAAAUCUAGACACUUUCUAUAAAUAGCAUUUGGAACCGAAAUGAGACUAACACAAAAGGCAUGAUAGCGAAGGUGUUUGGUAGACAUGGUAAGCUAUCAUUUAGCGAAUAUUGAGGGAUUAGUCUCAAUAUCGCAGGAGUUCUUAACAUUAACAAGUGCAAGUCAACGAAUGAGUUUUUCUAACUAGGUCAAUGUGAGACACAAAAUCCCUAGGCCCCAAAGUGGAGAUGAAAGGGUGCCAUGUGGUAGUGGCCGAAGCUAAAGCCAAACGAGCAUAACACAUUUGGACUAAAAACUCCAAUUUGAAAAGGUCGAGAGUGGGAGUGGAACUCCCAAUGAAAUGCUCAAGGAAUGAGCACGAAGUGAGCAAUAAGCGAGGCUCCAAAAAGGGACCCAAAAGGACCAACACAUGACACGUGGAAGUGUCUGAGAUGGACCCGAGUUAGGGUCUAAAGUGGAGUCCGAAGUGGAGUCCGAGACGGAGUCUGAGAUGGACCCGAGAUGGAGUCUGAGAUGGACCCGAGAUGGAGUCCGAGAUGGAGUCCAAGAUAGAUCCGAGAUGGAGUCCGAGAUGGACCCGAGAUGGAGUCCGAGAUGGAGUCCGAGAUGAAGUCUAAGAUGGAGUCCGAGAUGGAGUCCGAGAUGGACCCGAGAUGGAGUCCGAAGUUGAGACCGAGACUGGGACCGAGACCGGGACCAAGACCGAGACCGAGACCGAGAUCGGGACCGAGACCGAGUCCGAGUCCGAGUCUGAAUCCGAGUCCGAGUCUGAGUCCGAGUCUGAGUCCAAGUCUGAGCUCGAGUCUGAGAGGGUGAAAGCCCAAAGCGUUCGUCUCCCAGACCCUAGGGGGUUUGAUGAGCUCCAAAAGUAUAGUGAGGGGGAGGACUACAGUGGAGCCAGUUUGGCCCAGGAAGGCCGGACCCAGUGUUGGGUGAUGAGCUGCCCAUUGGGAAGUCCAAGACUAGAGUGAACACGGACCGACAAGUGGGAUAGCUUGGUGAAGUGUUCAAGAGCCGGCUCUAGUUCCCCCGGGAGAUCAACUGGCCGAUGCUUCCAGUCCAAGUGUGGGUGGCACUACCUACUUGGAUACUUGUCGUGGCUCAACGAAACCUCGCUCUAAGCCCAUGGCUAGAGCACCUAAAGGCGAAAGGCGGGGAGAGUACCCAUGAGGCCUGCGUAGGGCCACGGUGUUCCGAAAUGGUGUCCCAAAGUCCCAGACUGUGGAAAGGAAAAGGAGUAGCCCUUUGGUGUGGUGACCAAGGACAUAAUCACAUGGUGAGGAAGUCCCAGAGGACCAUGGGACUAAGUGGUCGGGCCUAUGGGCUUUGCCCCAGUGACAGUGUUGGCAAACAUGGCUAUGGACAGAAAGAGACUUGGUGAGGACUGGAAAAGAGGUAUUGGGGAAGGCUAUUCCCCAUGUUUGUAGGCAUCCUAAGGAUGUUAAAGAGUGGAUCUGGGAUGAUCACUCAUGGACGGAUGACCCAGUCUUUGAGAGACGGUUUUGCAAUGCAUGUGGUGUUGGACCACUAGUGUGACCAAGGUAAAUGGGCAUGGCCUUAGCGUAAUGGGCUGAUACGUCAGUGGUACCUUGGGGUGUCGAUCAUGGGAUCGGACACGUGGAGCACCUGGACUAAGUGCUAAGGUUGAGUGGCAUAGAUGGCAUUCUCGGGGCUAGCAAGCCCCAAGUCCUGAAUGGGACUUAUGAAGGUUAUGAGUGAGACUCCUCCAAGUGGUCGAAGGUGCGGUUAAGUGACUAAAGUAGAAUGGAAAAAUUAGUCGCUUACAACUUGGUAUCGGAGCUGUUCCUUAAUCCGACUUUUAUUGGUGCUCAAGUAUAUCACCAUUGAUGUUGGCAUCGAAAGGUCCUAGGAGUGGGCCUGUCCUUGAGGAGUAGCAUGUCGAGAGGACAUGGCUCUCCACUCAAGUUCACGCGUGAACUUGGGCACAAUGUGGUGGAUAGAAAAGGGCCAAUAAUGGAACAACUUUGGGAUCUUGGGAACAGUAUAAGGUUUCCUCAGAGAGCUGAGGAUGUGAUCCAAAUGAGCGUUUGACGCAGCAAACGGGCUAACGUAGUUGUGGUAAACAACUAUAGUUGGGAUCACGGGAAAGAUGUAGACUCCAAAACAAUAAAGGAGUCACAAGAUUACCCUCAUAUAGUUGAGGCUGGUGCUCAUAACAUUGAGACCAAAAUUGAUGACCAUGGGAGGUCAAAUACAGAAGAGGACACAAGUCCUUGAAAUGGUAGCCGGGGCUACCUUUAACAAAUGCUGGAACAACCCAAGGAGUUGGGGGUGUACUCAGAGGAUGAGUUGGUAUUCUCAUCACAUGGACAAGUGGUCCUAAGGGGCAAGAGGUUGCCCCAAGAGAACAAAUCAAGUGUCGGAAUAACACUUGCAAAAAUGGUCCUUGUGAGUAGGACCUGAAUACAAGAAGUUGUAUUCCAGCGAGUUGGCACCUCGAAGACUAAGACCUCGCAGAUCGUUGGAUUAGCAAAGUCUAAAAUGCUAGAUGACUCAAGUGGAGUCAGGGAAUGGUCCUAAGGGAUUGGUUGAAGCAUUUGGACUGAAGUGUAUGGGCCCCAUGAGGUAUGAGGAGGAUCAUCAGAUCCAAGUAUGAGAACAGUAGGUAUCUCAUUGAUGGUAGAAUAUGCCAUGCUAAAGUUGUGGGGAAAAUGUUCCCAGAAGAAAGCAACUUUAGCCCAGAGUUGGGUGCAAACACUAUGGUGCAGUGCUAACGGAUAGUUAGUAUGAGGAACAACUAUAUUGGUCUUGGCAAAGACCUAGACACUAAUAAAUAGUGUCAUAAGGAUAGGCUCGUGGGGCCAAUGGUGUGGAGAUACCAAAUGUGCCAAGGGGUGAUACUUUGAGGUUAUGUUGGUGAGUUCAUAAGAACCCCUUGCCAAGGGAAUCCUAACGGAAAUGGGAAUGAUAUAACCUAAGCUGGAAGGCAUGUGGUAGAGUGUGGUGACCAAAAACAAUGAUGGAAGUGUGGAAGCACCAGCAAUGAGUUGCAGGACUUGACAACUAUGAGGCAACUAAGCAAAAAGUGCAAGAUAAUUGGUUAAACUGGUAGAAGGUAGCUACCCAAGACUUCUUAAUGGCAUAAAAAAGUUAGAUAUACCCUUAUAGGGGAUAAAUUGCUUAGGUUGCAAAAUAGUAAGUCGAUGUCGUAAAAGGGAAUGCUCAUUGUCAAAAAGGCCAUCAUUUGGGACACCCAAACACUCUAGAACACUAGGAGGUGGUGUUUGAGGUCGCGAGGGCAAUAGAUAAGGCCCAAGGGACUAAGUCCCUAGUGAAUGAUAGAUAGAAGAUGCUAUUCAAAUGUCCAAGGUUGUGGAGACAGGAGAAUACUGUCUACCCGAAUUGGACAAAGCCAAAAAUGGAAUUUUGGCAAGGCUAGUGAUGGGCAUGUAAGGGCCCAUAAGCAACAACGUUAAUCCUGGUGUGUAGGAUUAUAAGGUGAGCAUAUCUGAACCACUUCCUAGGCUAUUUAGUCGGUUCAUCCCUAAGAAUACUUGCUAAGGCAUGAUAGAAAGUGCAAAGCUAUCCUUUUAGUCUAGAGGAGAAUGACCGAAGGAAAGGUGUGAAGCCAAAAGCAAGUAGUAAAAGGAUAGAACCGAACCAUAAGAAUUGAUAGGCAUGACCAAGGGUGGCUAUGCAAGUUGUAAGUGGAGAAUCAAGUGGGCGCUCAAGCAUGUUGUUACUAGCAACCAGGAUGCCAUGGAGAGUCAAAAACAUGGGAUUGUCCAUGUUAGGCUAUAUGGUAAUUGGAAAGCUUGCAAAAGGAAAGACCUUAGCAAGCUAAGGAACAAAGUUCCUUGAAAGUUCCCCUAGGUAGUUAAGUACUUAGUCAACCAAGUGUAAAUGGUUCAUAGAACACGCAAAAUCAGAGUAGCGUAGCAGAAGUGUGGUCUUGAAGCUUGCCAUGAGGCAAAGCUAUCAAGGUUGGGGAAGUAGUUCCUGAGUGUUCAAAGAGAGGGCUUUGAACGCAAGUCGAUGGUUAAGGAUUUUCACGUUUAUGCAUGAACCAUGUUACAGUAGCCGAAUGACUUGCUAAGUGAAAUUGGCAAGUUGGGGGAAUGAAUACCCUAGUUGAAGGAGCCAACUUCAAAGGGGUGGCCCAUGGGGCCGAGCAUAGAGGAGUCCAUGCAUGAUCACAGACAUAUCAAGUGAGAGGACUUGGCAGUGCGGAGGAACUAGGUUCCUAAGCUGUGAUCUGUAGCGCGCUUUAAAUAUAAGUUGGCGCACCGGCGUGGGGAGUCAUACUAGGCAUCUUGUGUGAUGCUGUCCAUAGAUGCAUAUACGGAGGUUGGGUUUGAGUCCCGACCCUCUAGUGCUUGGGUUCGAAUCCCAAAUCACUAGGGUAUGGUGAUGGUUUGGAAUAUGAGAACACUCAUAUUUUGGUGGUCAUGGACUCUCAGUGGGGAGACUGGUUUGGGCACACCGCUAAGCAAGGGAUGCCUCGGAGUCGUGAUGCACGGUUAGAUUGCUUAGUGUGAAAGCUCGGCAUAUCUAACUUGAACUCUUUGGUGCAAGUGGCACCAAGGACGUGGUGAGUGAGAUAGAGACACCUAAUCUCAAUUGCUAUGGACCCUUGGCCGUAAGGGUUGGCUUGGGUGCACUGCUAAGUGUGGGGGAUGCCCCCGGGUUAUGGUCAACAACUUGAAGGUCUAGAAAACCAAGUACCUCUUGGCAACUCUGUUAAGGUGCUAAGGUUAGAUCACUAGGUGAUCUUAUGGCUAAAUAAGGACAAGAUCCUUGAUUGGCUAAGGAAUGAAGUUCCUGGUUAAAAAUGUUGAUUUGAACUAUUGAUGAUAGUGUGGCUUGGUCAAGGUGACCAAGUGAGAAGGACACCUAAGGGAAAUGAGAUAUGUCAAUGCGAUGGCAUAGUGAGUCCGAGGAAAAUAAUCUAUAUAAGAGACCCAUAAGAGGGUCACGAAGUUGGGCCAUGGAUAGAGCCCACAAUAGAAGUGUAAGCCAUAAAUUUUUCCUUUCCAAUUUGCCAGCUUACCUCGUCUAUCCGUCCGACACUGCCUUGGCUUUUGCUAAGUUCCCUUGCCAAGGUUCUCGCCUAUGGUACCAGCUCCUACUUGGUUUCAGCUACUCACUGCACGAGCAACGGAGUGUUAGCCAUCCUUCCACGGAUUCCCAAAUCACUCUCAAUCCCCCUCCCCGGGUUAGACUGGACUUAAGGUUCGGCUACACUCCCCGCAAGCACAAGCAGCCAAGCACACCAAGCUUCCAGGUUCCUAACAUCCCUUGGUACCACAAGACUUGAUCAUGGGACCCUCUAAAUCCCAAGUCUUGAGUGCAACACUUGCUUCGGGACGCCGGGGUGAAACACCGUGGCCUAACGGCCCGGUAUGGGUACCUCUCGCCCCCCACUUCCAUCCCGAAGGAAGGCCCAAGCCCCUAGGAAGGGCGAGGACCAAUGAGCCGCAUGGUACUCAAGUGGGGCACCACUCCACAUGAGCCGGGAGCACCGCAAUCGGUUUCCCUUUCGGGAGUGGGAGCUGCUCUUGAGCACUUCCUUGGAUGGCCCCUCCGGCACCAGCCAAGUCCAUGCUCACUCCCACCCAAGGCCCCUUAGUCCCAGUCCCAACCUCAAGUCGGUUUGGAAGCCCCACUGGAGAGUCCCUUCUAAACUGGUUCCUGGACCUCACUAUCCCUACUAUACUUUUGGAACCCCCUGCAGCCCCCCCCCCCCUGGGGGACGCACGCUUUGGGCUUUCACCCCUUGACCCGUAUUAGUAUUUGGACUUAGUCUCUGGCUCGAUCUCGGAUCCGAUUUCGGAUCCGACUUCGGAUUCGGUCUCGAACUCGAUCGCGGACUCGAUCUCGGACCCGAUCUCGGGCCCGACCUCGGACUCGACUUCAGACUCGGUCUCGGACCCGAUUUCGGAUCUCGGACUCCGUCUCGAACUCGGUCUCGAACUCGGACUUGAACUCGGUCCCCGAGUCGGUCUUGGACUCGAUUCCGGACUCUAUCUCGAACUCGGUCCUAGAGUCGGUCUUGGACUCGAUCUUUGACUUGGUCCCAUCCGAUGAACUCUUUGUCAUUUUGGUCAUGCUUUCGGGGUUCCCUUAGCCUACGACACCUCGGCGAGUUGGUUCUUUACAACUCCACCACCCAUAGAAGAAGUUCGAUGCCCACAUCGAACGUCUCUUUUUUAUCCUACGACUUGUUGACCAUGUCUCCGGGGGCAUCCCCCCACUUAGCGGUGUGCCUAAGUUAGCCUCCCCGGCCAAGAGCUCAUGACAACGGAAUAUAGGUGUCCCUAUACUCCUCCCCUCACCACGCCCUAGUAUGGGGUCGGGACUUGAUCCCAGCCUUGCUUUACUAGGGGGUUGGGACUCGAACCCAACCUCCGUAGAAUACGUCUACGGUUUCGACAUCCCCGCAGGGAGUCGGGCGUAGCUCCCUACGCCUGGUCGACCUAGCUAACCCAUGCUAAUUAGCUUACCUUCGGCGCGCCUUCGGGUCCCAACAUAUGCCAUUGCUCAACUUCUCAAAUUGAUACUUUUAAUUGAACUUUGCAUAAGUACAUAGAGUUCUGCCAUGCAGAAAUUCCUCCACUAGAUCUCGCGUGUUCGCUAGGUUCUCCUCCGGUUCCCAUGUUGCUUCGCAGUGUGGAAAUCCUUUCCACUUCACAUGGAACUCUCUCACCUCGCGUCCGUGUCGCUUGCUUUUGCGCGCAUUGAGGAUGGCCUCGACUUCGUAUUCCUCCUCCCCUUGGAUAACCUCAGGUAAAGGUCUUACUUGGUCCUUGCGAAGCGGAUCCUCAAAAUACGGCUUGAGUAAGUUCACGUGGAACACGGGAUGUAUCUUCCCCAUCUCUCGAGGAAGUCGGAGACGGUAAGCCACUUUACCGAUUCGAGCCUCAAUCUCGUAAGGCCCCGCGAACCUGCUUAAGGAACUCAAGAUCAAUUCAUUUACAGGAACACAUGCAUUUUUACCUUUGGGUCAACUUCCGGCUGAUCCCACUUGGUAGCCUGAGGUUCUUGGUGUUCAGCCACACCUUCUCCCCAGCUUGGAACUCCACAUCUCGACGCUUUUGGUUCGCGUACUUAGUUUGCUUUUGUUGAGCCCGUUCCAAGGAAUCCCUCACUAGAUUCCAAAUGUUGAGUCUUUCCGCCGUGAAUGCCUCCACUGCGGGUAACUCUCCAUGAUACUCGGCCACGCCGAGUUCCACAGGACCUUCAAUAGCUCGCCCAUUGAUGACUUCCCAUGGACUCACCCCGAUGCUCGAAUGUGGUGAGUUGUUAUAACACAUUUCCGCAAGUCCCAAAUGACUUACCCAGUCGGUCUGGUCUCCCGAGACAUAGCAUCGCAAAUAAUCCUCCAGCUGCCUAUUCACCCUUUCCGUUUGUCCGUCUGUCAAGAAGUGUUAGUGCCAUCAAUCUUGACUCAAUACCCAUUACCUGUCUGUGGGUGAUAGGCCGUGCUGAAUUUCAACUUGGUGCGAUACUGUUCUAGGAGCGUCCUCCAGAACCUACUGGUGAAGAUCUUAUCUCGAUCUAAGAUAAUCUCUUCCGGCCUUCCCCGCACUCGGACCACUUGUUCAAAGAACAGCUUUGCCACACCUUCCGCAUCCACAUCCGUUGUGGUGGGUAUGAAAUGUGCCAUCUUUGAAAAUCGGUCCACCACCACGAAUAUCGCAUCGAACCCCUCGCUUGGGGGUAGUCCCGUGAUGAAGUCCAUCGUGAGACAUUUCCACGGACGAUCUGGAAUGGGGAUGCUUUGCAACAAGCCCCCACUAGCCUUCGUCACGGCUUUGACCUGCUGACAUGUUGGACAUGUCUUUACAUAGUCUUGGACGUCCUUAGCCAUAUCUGGCCAGUGAUACUUCCUUUUGAGUAAGCCCAUCGUCUUGGGCACUCCGCCGUGUCCCGCGAAAGGUCCGUCAUGACACUCUUCCAAGGCUACCUUCCUUAGUUCCCCUUCUGGAACAUACACCCUCGUUUGCUUGUAAUAUAUGAGUCCGUUGCGUUCCGCAUAGCCCGUUUUCUCUUCCGUUGGCAGCUCACCUCUCUGGUGAGCUUCCCGUGCCUCCAGAUUCCUCAGCAACACUUCUUGUGCUAGACCAUCACUCUCGUAUGCGGUCCGCACCUCGUCCCAAAAGGUUGCUGUCGCGCUAGAUAUCGCCAACUUCAAGCUCGCUUUUCGACUUAGCGCAUCUGCCACGAUGUUGCUCUUCCCAGGCUUGUACAGGAUCUCGCAAUCAAACUCGGCCAAAGCAUUGGCCCACCGACCUUGUUUUCCCCUUAGGUCGGGCUGUGACAAGAAGUGUUUCGUUGCCACAUUAUCCGUGUAAACCUUGAAGUGUCUCCCAAGGUAGUGUCGCCACUCCUUGAGCGCCUUGACCACCGCAAACAAUUCCUUCUCGUGGGCAGGCCACUUCCGUUGAGCCUUGUCCAGCUUCUUCGAGAAGAAUGCUACUGGAUGGUUGUCUUGCUUCAAAACUGCGCCCAACGCAAAGUCCGAAGCAUCCGUGUCUACCUCAAAGUCCUUACCAAAGUCUGGUAAUGCCAACACCGGAGCCUUCCUCAACUUCCCUUUGAGGUGGAUGAAUGCCGCCUCGCAUUCCGCUGUCCAUACCAUCUUCCCUUUUCCUGUUUGGUCCGUUAAGGGCAGGGCUACUCUCGAAUAGUGUCUGAUAAACUUUCGAUAGUAGUUGCAUAGCCCCAGGAACGCCCUCAACUCAUGUACAUUCGAUGGUCGUUCCCAUUCCUGGAUCGCUUGGACCUUCUCCGGGUCCACCUUGAGCCCGUCUUGGCCCACCACAUGCCCGAGAAACUUUACCUCUUGUUGAGCAAAGUCACAUUUGCUCUCUUUAGCAUACAGUUUGUGUUCCUUUAGUUUCUCAAACACCUUCGCCAAGUGUUCGGCAUGCUCCUCUAGCGUCUCGCUAUAGAUCAGGAUGUCGUCAAUAUAGACGACCACGAAGCGAUCCAGAUAGGGUACAAAGAUGUGGUUCAUCAACGCCGAAAACGUUGCCGGCGCAUUGCACAGCCCAAAGGGCAUCACCAAAAACUCAAAGCUCCCAUACCUCGUUCGACAGGUUGUCUUCUCGACAUCUUCCUCAGCUACCCUGAUCUGGUAGUAUCCUGACCUUAGGUCAAUCCUCGAGAAGUAUUUUGCCUUUCCCAACCUAUCGAACAGGUCCUCGAUCCUUGGCAAAGGGUACUUGUUCUUCUUGGUAUACUUGUUGAGCAACCGGUAGUCUAUGCACAUGCGCAUAGAUCCAUCUUUCUUUUUCACAAAUAGCACCGGCGCCCCAUACGGCGACUUGCUCAACCUAACAUACCCUUUGUCCACCAACUCCUCUAGUUGGCUCUUGAGCUCCUUGAGUUCUUUUUCGUUCAAUCGAUAGGGUGGACGAACCACCGCCUCAGCACCCUCGACCAGCUCAAUCUUAUGUUCUAUCGGUCGUGCGGGGGGCAACCCCACCGGUAGCUCCUCCGGCAUCGUAUCCUGGAAUUGGUCCAGCACCUGCUGGAUCACUAAAGGUACUUCUUCCGUUCUUGUCUUUUUGUCACUCUUCACCGCGAGUAAGCACAAAAAGGCUACCUUAGUUCCUUUAGUGAGUUGUCCUCUCGUGGACACCAGGUUUAAGCAUGACUCUUUGGCCUUGCUUUGCCCUACCUUUAGAUCCUGGGCCUCCACCCUAGAUCUUCUUCCUUGGGCAUUCGCCAAUACCACAAGGUUCCUACCUUGUCCAUGCAGGGCUACCACGAACCGAUUAAACCAAUCCAUUCCGAAGAUCACGUCAAAUCCCGCCAUGUCCAAGACGGUGAAAUCCAUGUCCACUUUCCAUGUCCCCACUUCGACUCUCGCUUGUCGAAGUACCUCAUCGGUGCUUUGGCUACCUUGAACAAACUCUAUAGUCCUUGGUUCGCCUAGCCGCUGCACCGUUAGUCCGGCUUGCCGGACUAUGUCUGCAGCCACAAAAUUAUCCGAAGCACCCGUGUCAAUAAGGAUCUUAACAAAGCUACCUCCGAGCUUCCCUCGGAGGGCUAGUAGAUGUCGCGAACGACUCUCUACCAAAGUUGCUCGUGUAAUGAGUAACUUUGAGUUAGGGACUGGAUCACAUACCUCAGUUUGGACUUCACCCGACUUGAUGGCCAUAUUGGCUCUGGCCUUCUUCGGGUAGGGACAUUCCCUCGAGAAGUGUCCCGCUUCGCCGCAGUUGUAGCAUACGUUGUUUCCCACGCUGCUAUACGACUUGACCUUCUUAUCUGUGGGUUUGUCUUUUUUCGCUUGACUCCCCCACGUACUCGCUCGCUGGCCACCGGAUUUGCCUUUCCGGAACCCCGAGGACUCAUUCUUAGAGAAACUCUUUUUGAAUUUCCCCUUGCUAUACGUUCCCCUCGGUUUGGCCCCUUUGUGAAACGUGGAUCCCGACCCCGUCGUGUUCCCCUUUCGCAGGUUAUCGUUGAAAUGCACCUUGAUGGCCGCAUCCAACGCUUCCUUGUAGUUGGUCGGGUUCCAGCGCAUCACCUCACCGCGAGCCCAGGUUUGCAAACCUGAUAUAAAGGCAUGGAACGCAUCCAUAUCCCCCAUGUCCGUGACAAGUAUCCUCUUUGCCAUGAACCCAUUCACAUAUUCCUGGAUGGUUCCAGUCUGCUUCAGCCUACUCAACUCAUCUCUCAGAUGCAGAGUGGCAUUUGGAGGAACGUAUGUCGCGCGGAUCCUCACCUUCAUCAUGUCCCAGGUGGCCACCGGUCCUUCGUUGGCCUCCGUUGUUCUCCACCAAGACUUGGCAUUAUCUGCCAAGUAUGGUUUUGCACAUGGGACCUUCUCCGAGCUCGGUAACCGCAACGCUCGGAAGUAGUCCUCCAUAUCGUAAAACCAAUCCUCCACAACCUUAUAGUCGUUCACUCCCUUGAACACCGGUGGGGGCUUUGGUUUGUACUUGGGAACUGCCUGAGGGACUGAUUCCACUUCGGUCUGUUCGACCUUGUCUGGUUUUGCCUCAGUCCCUGCCGAAGGGUCCGCACCUUCUGCACUGCCAGCAUCCGCAGUCUUUCGCUUUUUCCUCCGCUUCUCGUCACGCUUUAACUUGCGUACGAGAGUCUCCAGCAGGGCAUUGGUCUGUGCCAACUGUCCUUCUAGCACGUCCAAUCGAGCCUUGGACGACCGAACCUCGCCACCGGACUCCUGUUUGGAAGUUUCCUCACUGGAGUCCUCCUCAUGCAAGGAUUCCUCAUCCAUAGCCUCUUGUUCAACCGGAGGCUCCAGCUCCGGCGGAGGUUCCGUCUCCGCCUGGGUUCGCUUACGCCCUGCCCUUGCCAUCUCCCAGCAAUCCACCUCUAUCCUUCGCUAGAACUGAGAUAAAGGCUCCGAUACCAAAUUGUAAGCCACAAAUUUUUCCUUUCCAAUUUGCCAGCUUACCUCGUCUAUCCGUCCGACACUGCCUUGGCUUUUGCUAAGUUCCCUUGCCAAGGUUCUCGCCUAUGGUACCAGCUCCUACUUGGUUUCAGCUACUCACUGCACGAGCAACGGAGUGUUAGCCAUCCUUCCACGGAUUCCCAAAUCACUCUCAAUCCCCCUCCCCGGGUUAGACUGGACUUAAGGUUCGGCUACACUCCCCGCAAGCACAAGCAGCCAAGCACACCAAGCUUCCAGGUUCCUAACAUCCCUUGGUACCACAAGACUUGAUCAUGGGACCCUCUAAAUCCCAAGUCUUGAGUGCAACACUUGCUUCGGGACGCCGGGGCGAAACACCGUGGCCUAACGGCCCGGUAUGGGUACCUCUCGCCCCCCACUUCCAUCCCGAAGGAAGGCCCAAGCCCCUAGGAAGGGCGAGGACCAAUGAGCCGCAUGGUACUCAAGUGGGGCACCACUCCACAUGAGCCGGGAGCACCGCAAUCGGUUUCCCUUUCGGGAGUGGGAGCUGCUCUUGAGCACUUCCUUGGAUGGCCCCUCCGGCACCAGCCAAGUCCAUGCUCACUCCCACCCAAGGCCCCUUAGUCCCAGUCCCAACCUCAAGUCGGUUUGGAAGCCCCACUGGAGAGUCCCUUCUAAACUGGUUCCUGCACCUCACUAUCCCUACUAUACUUUUGGAACCCCCUGCAGCCCCCCCCCCCUGGGGGACGCACGCUUUGGGCUUUCACCCCUUGACCCGUAUUAGUAUUUGGACUUAGUCUCUGGCUCGAUCUCGGAUCCGAUUUCGGAUCCGACUUCGGAUUCGGUCUCGGACUCGAUCGCGGACUCGAUCUCGGACCCGAUCUCGGGCCCGACCUCGGACUCGACUUCGGACUCGGUCUCGGACCCGAUUUCGGAUCUCGGACUCCGUCUCGAACUCGGUCUCGAACUCGGACUCGAACUCGGUCCCCGAGUCGGUCUUGGACUCGAUUCCGGACUCUAUCUCGAACUCGGUCCUAGAGUCGGUCUUGGACUCGAUCUUUGACUUGGUCCCAUCCGAUGAACUCUUUGUCAUUUUGGUCAUGCUUUCGGGGUUCCCUUAGCCUACGACACCUCGGCGAGUUGGUUCCUUACAAGAAGAUGCUAAAGAGACGUACUAGGGGUGAACAUCCUCCGGACUUGGCAAAGAAGAGUCUUUGCUAUGGAACCGAAGGGAUACCUCAAAAAUGGAGGUAGCAAUCUUAUGUUGCUAGGUGCAACAAUCAAGGAUAGGAGCAAAAGACUGUGGCUAAGUAAAAAGCCAUGGGAAUCAUGGGAAAGAAUCCAAAUGGCAAAGUUAAGCCAAAAACACUAAGGUGUUGGGUGCUAACGGAUUGUCGGAAAGGUAAUGUGUUCCCAAGGAUGGAUUCCCAAUUGCUCCAAUUUGGUGAAAGCGGAAGCUCCAAGGGUGGGAGCAGUAAGGUAGCUAAAUGAUAGGGCUGUGGACAGCCCUAGCACAAAAUAUGAUGAUUGGAACUUAGUGCCAAAGGUGGCAUGAAAUCGAACAAAGGAUGAUGGUGCCCUCAAGUAGAGAACUUCCUAGGAUGAGGAAGUGGAGUUGCAUAAUCUGUGCAAUACGAGGUGUCGGAGACAUCCAGGAAAUUGACUUCGAGAAGUCAGAAUUAAAAGUUCCAAAGUGCAAGGGUUAUAUCGAUGGAAAGUGAGACCACUCGAGAACGAGUAGUGGGAUCGAGUUAGAGAAGGUGUCUCUAACAGGUUUAGUGAGAACUAAACCAAUAAAAGGAGAGAACCACCACAAGUGGUCAAAUGAGCCUCUAAGUUGGAGAAGCUAUGCUCCUUAGAGGAUGGACAAAGCAUGGUGAGCCUUUAGUGUCAAACCAUAGACAAAUAUUGGCUAGGUGCCAAGGAUGGAAAUGGUAACACGUGUGGGUGUUACUUUAUGAAAGGGUUUAUCGUUUGAUGAGGACAUCGACCUUCGUCUAUGGGUGGUGGAGUUGUGAGACACAAAAUCCCUAGGCCCCAAAGUGGAGCCGAAAGGGUGCUAUGUGGUAGUGGCCGAAGCUAAAGCCAAACGAGUGUAACACGUUUGGACUAAAAGCUCUGACUUGAAAAGGUCGAGAGUGGGAGUGGAACUCCUAACGAAGUGCUUAAGGAACGAGCACGAAGCAAGCAAUAAACGAGGCUCCAAAAAGGGACCCAAAAGGACCAACACAUGACACGUGGAAGUGUCCGAGAUAGACCCGAGUUGGGGUCCGAAGUGGAGUCUGAGAUGGACUCGAGAUGGAGUCCGAGAUGGACCCAAGAUGGAGUCCGAGAUGGAGUCCGAGAUGGACCCGAGAUGAAGUCCGAAGUCGAGACCGAGACCAGGACCGAGACCGGGACCAAGACCGAGAUCGAGACCGAGAUCGGGACCGAGACCGAGACCGAGGCCGAGACCGAGACCGAGCUUGAGUCUGAGUUCGAGUCCGAAUCCGAGUCCGAGUCCGAGUCCGAGCUCGAGUCUGAGAGGGUGAAAGCCCAAAGUGUUCAUCUCCUAGACCCUAGGGGGUUUGGUGAGCUCCAAAAGUAUACUGAGGGGGAGGACUGUAGUGGAGCCAGUUUGGCCAGGAAAGGCCAGUUUGGCCCAGGAAGGCCAGACCCAGUGUUGGGUGAUGAACUGCCCAUUGGGAAGUCCAAGACUAAAGUGAACACGGACCAACAAGUGGGGUAGCUUGGUGAAGUGUUCAAGAGCCGGCUCUAGUUCCCCCGGCCGAUGCUCCCAGUCCAAGUGUGGGUGGCACUACCUACUUGGAUACCUGUCGUGGCUCAACGGAACCUCGCUCUAAGCCCAUGGCUAGAGCACCUAAAGGCGAAAGGCGGGGAGAGUACCCAUGAGGCCCAUGUAGGGCCAUGGUGUUCCGAAAUGGUGUCCCAAAGUCCCAGACUGUGGAAAGGAAGAGGAGUAACCCUCUGUUAUGGUGACCAAGGACAUAGUCACAUGGUGAGGAAGUCCCAGAGGACCAUGGGACUAAGUGGUCGGGCCUAUGGGCUUUGCCCCAGUGGCAAUGUUGGCAAACAUGGCCAUGGACAAAAAGGGGACCGGAAAAGAGGUAUUGGGGAAGGCUAUUCCCCAUGUCUGUAGGCAUCAUAAGGAUGUUAAAGAGUGGAUCUGGGAUGAUCACUCAUGGACGGAUGACCCAGUCUUUGAGAGAUGGGAUUGCAAUGCAGGUGGUGUUGGACCACCAGUGUGACUAUGGUAAAUGGGCAUGGCCUUAGUGUAACGGGCCAAUACGUCAGUGGUACCUUAGGGUGUCGAUCAUGGGAUCGGACACGUGGAGCACCUGGACCAAGUGCUAAGGUUGAGUGGUAUGGAUGCCAUUCUCGGGGUUAGCAAGCCCCAAGUCCUAAAUGGGACUUAUGGAGGUUGUGAGUGAGACUCCUCCAAGUGGUCGGAGGUGCGGUUAAGUGACUAAAGUAGAAUGGAAAAAUUAGUCACUUACAGUCAAGUAUGCUUGACAAAUAACAUGUAGGAAUUCCGUCCUUAUGCUCAUUUAGUCAAGUGCACACGUGAUGACCAGUUUCUCAACUAGCUUGAGUGGAGACCAUAAAAGGGACUAGUAGUACCAACCUCCUAUCAUUGUGGCACUAAGGAAUGAGUGUCCGUAAAGAUUGGCCGACAAAUAUCUUUCGAUACCUAAAGUCACAUUCACAACAAUUAUUCAUUGCAUGGAGUGGUUGUGUGAAACAAAGUAAAGUUGUCAUUAAACAAUUUCAUAAGGGAUAUAUGCUUCUUGUUACUAUGAGAUUUAUACACAUGAAGGGCAUCAAAAUCCUGCUUGGAUGUGGUUUUGUGAAGGUGAUGUUACACAUACUUGAGCACCUAAACACGCACUACUCAACCCACCAGAGAUACCAUAAGUAUGGCUAAUUGACCAAUUUACAAGUUUGACAGAAGGAGAAGUCAAUGAACUUGGAAGAAGUGGUUUCCAACUAAAGAAAGCUCUUAUAACAUAGUCUUUAUAUCAAAUUAGAUCCUUAUCAUGUCAUAACAUGUAAACACUUCAACUCUUGAGAAGCAUGCAUUGUCAACCUCGGUGCCACACAAACAAGAUAGAAAAAUAAUGUAUGCUAGGACAACAUUUUUGGCUCAUGCACAAUAGAGGAUGGAAAAUGUUGCAACAAUUCAAACAACAACAAGAGUGGUUAAUAUCAGCAUUAUUUGUCAUAAGGAGGAGUUGGUGUAGCUUUAAUCAUCACAAAACAACUAUCGAGUGAGAAUUUCACAAUAUCUAGUUUGCACUUGUGUUGAUUUCAUCAAGCAUCAGGAUUUCAAGUGUGUAAGCAUUUGUUAUUCAUGUAUAUAAACAUUUACAAGUUGGUGGAUGGUGACCUCUGCAUGAUCCAACCAACAUUGUCCAAGUUAAAGGUUGUUGAUACAAUCAGUAGGUAUGAGGGUGCUCUAAUUGCAACACCAACAACUUAAAAAGACAAAGUGGCUUAGACAAUAAAGGUUGUUAUAUUCAACUCCACUAGUUCUGUUCUAUUUUUAGGUUUUUUUAAUUGCCAGUUUUAAAGCCUGGCCUAAGAAAAUGUACUUUGUUUUCUCAGACUUACAGAAUGUAGUUGUCAAUUUUUAGUUUGUCAUGUCUACUGUGUUUCUGGUCUUUACCAUGAAAACAUUUUUUCAUUCAAUGUAUCAAGUGUAUUUUGAAUUGUACUUUUUUUCAAAAUAAAUGGUUCAUAGAAUAUUCUAAGUAUAUUCUACGAAUAUUCUAUGAAUAUUUGGCCUCUAAAAAGAACGCACUCCUUUCUGUUUAAGACAUGUUCUAAGUAUAUUCUCCUGUUGUCCAAUGGUCCUCCCCAUGGUGUCUUAAUCCACCAUGUAAAUGAUGUAUUCUACUGUGGUAGAAUAUGCUAUUGUGGUGGUUUAUUCUAGCAUGUGACUUCUGUUGGAUAUACCUUGCUUCUGCUCCAUGAUUGCAACUUGUUCACGUUGGAUGUGCCUCGUCAACUUGUUCGAACGUGUUGGACAUAAAAACACCAAGUUGGCUAGGCACACGCAAGCGCCAGAGCACCAGUUCUCUUCUUCAAGUACAUAAAUAGAGCUCUAGUGCUGCAGUAAUGUACACACAGCUGUGCAAUGAAGAUCUUCAUUCCCCUCGUUCUAACACUGGUUUUUGCAAUCGCUCCUGCACAAUCGAGCCUCCCAAAGCCGGGAGAAUUGGAUCUAUCAAAGUGCACCGAGGUGAUCCGGUUCUACUUGCACGACCAGUUCAAUGGGAGCAAUCCGACAACAGCAAUCGUCCUGCCUCCUCGUAACAAUGAAACGUUGUUUGGUCAGGUUGCCAUUUUUGAUGACAAGCUGACUACGGAGUCCUCGAUCAACUCCAAGCCUGUGGGAAGAGCCAAGGGUUUUCUGGUGAUAGAUUCGCUGAGCAAAAGCAGCUUUCUCCAGAGCAUGACGGUGGAGCUGGAAGGGCGGAAAGGUACAAUAGUGCUCCAUGGUCAGAACCCCUUCACUGAGUCCCGAAGGGAAAUAGCCGUUGUUGGGGGCACAGGAGAGUUCAGAAACGUUCAGGGCUACGCAUUAACGAGCACAACUGGAGCUGAACCUGGUGGGCUUAUUGCAAUCUACGAAGUUCAUCUGGUGAGGUUCUGGGAAUGCAUCUCGAAAUAUAUUUUACCAUUUCAUAUUGUAAACUCAGAUCCCUAGACCAUUAAAAAAUGAAUAUGCUUUAUUUAAUUAUUAUGCAUCUUAUAGAAAACGUGGGUAACCUAUUAAGAGUCCUAGGGCGAAGAAACCACCAUCGAAUGCGAACCACCGUUAAUUCUUGCUAUAGCAGUUCAGUGACUCUUCUAGUUCUGAAAUACCACACUCUCCAAAAUUUCUGAGACCUGAUCCGCGCAAUUCGGUUUCUUUGUUUCCUUCAACUUGGGUUGUUCUCCUGCCUUGUUUCUCUUCGUUUUCCUCCAUUUCUCGUCACAUUGCUUUGUGUGACCGAUCAGGCUGUUCCCGAUGGAGUGGACGUGCUGAGCCUUUCAGCGCUGGAACUUGACAUUCAUGAGCACCUUCGACCUGGCGCUGCUGUCGGCCGUCAAGGCGGGCGUGUUUGUGACCCAGGCUGUUGGAAACGGGGGACCGUAUCCCCGGACCAGCGUGUCCUUCAGCCCCUGGAUAUUCUCCGUAGCAGCGGCCACCCACGACAGGACCUACCCAAACGCCAUCACCCUCGGGAGCAUCACGGGAACCGGCCUCGCAUGUAAGAUACACGCAAGUGUACUGCCUUCUGUGUCUUUUCUCGUCGUUAUCUUGCCCCUCCGCCACCUUUUUUGUGCCCGCCAGCUGCUCCGUUGACGUGCCAUGCUUGCCAGCUGAUGUAAUGUGAGGCUUUCUGGGUGUUGUUUGCAGCCGGGACAAAUGGCAGCUUCAGCCUUAUCACCGCAGCAGAUGCCACCAAUGGGAAUGUGUCCAGGAUCCUUGUCGACGAGUGCCAGGACGCCGGGAACUACAACAGGUCGCUCGUCAGCGGCAGGAUUCUCGUGUGCAGCUACAGCCUGCGUUAUCUGUUCGGGGUGUCGACGCUGGCCGACGCGGUUGUGGCUGCGCAAGAGCUCAGAGCGUCCGGGCUUGUGUUUCUGGCCACGCCCGACCUCGACGGCCACAGCUUCCCGCCGUCCCCGAUCGGCUUCCCGGCUAUCAUCAUCCAGCUCCAAAGACUCCGCGGUAAAGUUCAUCCGCCACCUUUCUUGGAUCUUAACUAUCUCACUGCAUUUGCCGCCAGGUGUUGCUCCACUACUACAACACAUCCACGAGAAGAGACAAGUCAGGCAGGCUCUCGAGCUCCGCGGCCAUGGCCACCAUAGCAGGAGGCCGCGAAGCUCUUUUCAGCUUCUCGACACCAAGGUGGCGACGUACUCGUCCCGGACGUGAAUAGCAACAACCUGGACGUGGCUGAUGUGCUCAAGCCCAACAGGCUGCCUCCCGGGAACCUCAUCUGGGCGGCGUGGUCCUCAAUCGGGAGCGACGAGCGGGAGUUCGAAGGCCAGGAGUUUGCGCUUAUCUCCGGGACGAGCAUGGCCACGCCCCACAUCGCCGGCAUCGCGGCGCUCGUCAAGCAGCGCUUCCCGUCGCUCAGCCCCGCCGGGAUCGCGUCGGCCAUGUCCACUACCGCUCUCACUCUCGACUCCAAUGGCCAGCCACUACUCGCACAGCACCCCACGAGCAAUGUCGACUCGCCCGGCCACCCCAUUCGACUUUGGAGCCGGUUUUGUGAAUCCCGCAGCGGCGAUUGAUCCUGGCUUGAUCUUCGAUGCCGGUGAGUUUUUCUAUUCGAUCGCGUUCGUCUCGACUAAGGUGUUUUUGCUGCCAGGAUUCCGAGACUACAUCCAGUUCUUGUGCUCCAUUCCGGCUCUCAGCAACUCGACAGUGUCAGCCGCGACUGGAUCGUCUUGCUUGUCAUCGCCAUCGUCACCCUCUUCGUCCUCCUCAAACACCACCGCUGCCGCCAGCAUUUCUUCCAGCUUUGCCUCGGACCUUAACACUCCAUACGUGAGUAUCGCGAGCCUCAAUGGCGCCAGAUCUGUGGUGAGAAUCGCGACAAGCGUGAGCGAGAGGGACGAGGCUUACAAUGCUACAUUGGUCGUCCCCGCCGGGGUCUCAGUGACGGUAAAACCAUCGAGUUUCUCCGUGCGCGGUGGACAAUUGGUCAAGUUGACGCUCACUCUCAAGGCUCUAGUCACCUCCUCGGCUCCCAGUUUUGGGGAGCUCCUCCUGGAUGGCGAUCGGGGACACAGGCUUCAUCUCCCCAUUUGCGUCAGCUCCAAGAUCGCCUCCUCCGGUACCUCCUGAAGCUUUUCAAUGUUUUCUCACAAAGCAGAUCUAACCUCAGCCCAAGUGUUCAUAAGCUUAAAAAACGAGUAUAAAUUCUCGCAAGUUUCGAGAGACAUCCAUACUCGCCUCCUCCUCGUAAACCAUUCUUCUCAAUGUUACCUUGCAGAUGAAGAGGGUGUGUGUUCUCUCACGAAGCAACGUCAGCCCAAGUAUCCUGAGAAGAAGAAUUAUUAUAAAUGCUCGCAGAGAAGGACAAGCGCCAAUGAAAAUGAGAAAUCAUCACCCUACACGACAUCCAUACCUCGCAUUGAUCCUAUCAUCGAACGAAAACUCUAAACGAAAU